UACGUAGGGGGGCAAGCGUUGUCCGGAAUCAUUGGGCGUAAAGCGCGUGUAGGCGGCCCGGUAAGUCCGCUGUGAAAGUCGGGGGCUCAACCCUCGAAUGCCGGUGGAUACUGUCGGGCUAGAGUGCGGAAGAGGCGAGUGGAAUUCCUGGUGUAGCGGUGAAAUGCGCAGAUAUCAGGAGGAACACCAAUUGCGAAGGCAGCUCGCUGGGACGUGACUGACGCUGAGACGCGAAAGCGUGGGGAGCAAACAGG
rnacentral:rRNA from 1 species